rnacentral:tRNA from 1 species
GGUUCCAUAAUAUAGUGGUUAGCAUGUCUGCUUUACAUGCAGAAGGUUCUGGGUUUACACCCCAGUGGAGCCA